rnacentral:rRNA from 1 species
AUUGAACGCUGGCGGCAGGCCUAACACAUGCAAGUCGAGCGGAUGAAGGGAGCUUGCUCCUGGAUUCAGCGGCGGACGGGUGAGUAAUGCCUAGGAAUCUGCCUGGUAGUGGGGGAUAACGUCCGGAAACGGGCGCUAAUACCGCAUACGUCCUGAGGGAGAAAGUGGGGGAUCUUCGGACCUCACGCUAUCAGAUGAGCCUAGGUCGGAUUAGCUAGUUGGUGGGGUAAAGGCCUACCAAGGCGACGAUCCGUAACUAGUCUGAGAGGAUGAUCAGUCACACUGGAACUGAGACACGGUCCAGACUCCUACGGGAGGCAGCAGUGGGGAAUAUUGGACAAUGGGCGAAAGCCUGAUCCAGCCAUGCCGCGUGUGUGAAGAAGGUCUUCGGAUUGUAAAGCACUUUAAGUUGGGAGGAAGGGCAGUAAGUUAAUACCUCGCUGUUUUGACGUUACCAACAGAAUAAGCACCGGCUAACUUCGUG